AGGUGGGGCUGAUGACUGGGGUGAAGUCGUAACAAGGUAUCCGUACCGGAAGGUGCGGAUGGAUCACCUCCUAACAGGGAGACAAAACAAUGAUUUUGAUGUCUGAGUAAUUUAUUCUUAGGCCGAAAUCCUGUCACCUUAGGUCGAUCGGUACCUCAACAUUUUUUCAAAGAUUGAUGAGCAAUCAUCGAGAGAUUGAAAGAGAUGUUCAGUUCCUAAACUUUGUCUAGGUCACACCCCGCAAGGGAAGAGUCCCCUGGGCCAUUAGCUCAGGUGGUUAGAGCGCACCCCUGAUAAGGGUGAGGUCCCUGGUUCAAGUCCAGGAUGGCCCAUUCGGUGUUGGGGGUUUAGCUCAGUUGGUAGAGCGCCUGCUUUGCAAGCAGGAUGUCAGGAGUUCGAGUCUCCUAACCUCCACUGACCGAACUCAAUCUCCAUUGUCCGGUAACUCGGAGGAUGAACUCGAGUGAGUGUGAUUUAGAUGUGUCCACUAGAUUGGACCCCAGCUUCCUGUCAUUCCAAACAAGUAAAUAUUACUUGAAUGGUUGAUAAGAUGCUGGGCUCAGAUUAAUCGAAAGAUUAAUUUGAUGUCUAGUAGAACCUUGACAACUGCAUAGGUAAGUCUGGAAAAACAAAGCAUCUUACAGAUGCAUUGUUUUAAGCCUGAAUUCUCGAAAGGGAAUUUAGAAUUAGAACAAUGAAAAUUCUUUUGAGCAAGAGCCGAGA
rnacentral:sRNA from 1 species